rnacentral:misc_RNA from 1 species
GAUGAAGAACGCAGCGAAAUGCGAUAAGUAAUGUGAAUUGCAGAAUUCAGUGAAUCAUCGAAUCUUUGAACGCACAUUGCGCCCGUCAGUAUUCUGGCGGGCAUGCCUGUUCGAGCGUCAUUACGCCCCUCAAGUCCCCUGUGGACUUGGUGUUGGGGAUCGGCGAGGCUGGUUUUCCAGCACAGCCGUCCCUUAAAUUAAUUGGCGGUCUCGCCGUGGCCCUCCUCUGCGCAGUAGUAAAACACUCGCAACAGGAGGCCGGCGCGGUCCACUGCCGUAAAACCCCCCAACUUUUUAUAGUUGACCUCGAAUCAGGUAGGACUACCCGCUGAACUUAAGCAUAUCAAUAAGCGGAGGA